ACGGGAGGCAGCAGUGGGGAAUAUUGGACAAUGGGGGAAACCCUGAUCCAGCGACGCCGCGUGAGUGAAGAAGUAUUUCGGUAUGUAAAGCUCUAUCAGCAGGGAAGAUAAUGACGGUACCUGACUAAGAAGCCCCGGCUAACUACGUGCCAGCAGCCGCGGUAAUACGUAGGGGGCAAGCGUUAUCCGGAUUUACUGGGUGUAAAGGGAGCGUAGACGGAAGGCCAAGUCUGAUGUGAAAACCCGGGGCUCAACCCCGGGACUGCAUUGGAAACUGGUCAUCUAGAGUGCAGGAGAGGUAAGUGGAAUUCCUAGUGUAGCGGUGAAAUGCGUAGAUAUUCGGAGGAACACCGGUGGCGAAGGCGGCCUACUGGGCUUUAACUGACGCUGAGGCUCGAAAGUGUGGGGAGCAAACAGGAUUAGAUACCCUGGUA
rnacentral:rRNA from 1 species